GGGGAACCUGCGGCUGGAUCACCUCCUUUCUAAGGAUGCUGUCCGAUGUGAUGCUCGCUUGCGAGCCGCUCACUCUCACGGCGUCGUUGGAUCACGGGUCCAGUCAGGACCCAUUUGGCGGGACGCGCCGUCUUCGUUUCUCUUUCUUAUCAUCCGGACACGCUGGGCAGUACGCCAAGCGACGGGCCUGUAGCUCAGGUGGUUAGAGCGCACCCCUGAUAAGGGUGAGGUCGGACGUUCGAGUCGUCCCAGGCCCACCAUGGUCAGACGGUGAUCUCACCGCUGGAGCACAUCCCACUCGGGGCUGUAGCUCAGUUGGGAGAGCGCGUGCUUUGCAAGCAUGAGGUCGUCGGUUCGAUCCCGUCCAGCUCCACCACCCUCCCCUGCCGAACGCGGCAAGGUCGCAGGGUCGUCCGGAUCAAAGAGCUUCGCACCAUCGACGCAUUUGCGGGUGGCUGCGGAUAUCUGACAUCGUGAAGAGGGAAUGUGCCCUGGCCGUUGCGAAAGCGGCCGGCCGGGGUGCGUUCGGCAAGCAUAAGGCAGUCACUGCGAAAGUGGUGGCUGCCGGUCUUUAUCGUGACCGUGGAUGGUGGUGAUGACAGCUAUGGCUGUCGGUCACCGCCGGACACCGAUCAUGAGAGCGAUCAAGUGCCUUAAGAGCAUCU
rnacentral:tRNA from 1 species